rnacentral:rRNA from 1 species
AUUGAACGCUGGCGGCAGGCCUAACACAUGCAAGUCGAACGAGUGGCGGACGGGUGAGUCAUGUCUGGGAAACUGCCCGAUGGAGGGGGAUAACUACUGGAAACGGUAGCUAAUACCGCAUACCAUCGGAUGUGCCCAGAUGGGAUUCGCUAGUAGGUGGGGUAACGGCUCACCAAGGAGAAGAUCCCUAGCUGGUCUGCGAGGAUGACAAGCCACACUGGAAAUGAGACACGGGCGAGACUCCAACGGGAGGAAGCAGUGGGGAAUAUUGAAAAAUGGGCGGAAGCCUGAUGCAGCCAUGCCGAGUGAAGGAAGAAGGAAUUCGGGUUGUAAAGGACUGUCAGCGGGGAGGCGUUACUUGCAGAAGAAGCAACGGCUAACGCCGUGCCAGCAGCGGCGGUAAUAC